AGAAAAAUGGGAAUACCCGGCACUUGGUUUCCAGCAUUUGUGCAAAACCCUGGUAAAAGUCCCAAAAAUACUGUAGUGGAGCGGAGACCACCUCACUAAAAUUACACUAUCCCCCUUCUAGAACUAAAAGAAGAAGCGCUCUCAUGAUCUAGGGCUUCACACCUCUUCGUCUGUUCGCCUCCUCUCCCUCCCUUGGUACGUUCCCCUCUCUCUCUCUCUCGAUAGAUGGAGAUCGAUGCGAAGGAAAAGGUGGAAUUGAUACAGCAAAAAUGGAGGAACGAAGUGAUUCCUUCAUCAGACAAGAGCCAUUUCAUUGGCGAUGACCAUCAUCUUGUGCUCUCUGGAUUGAUUUCUCAGACCGAUUUGAGCUCGAAACAAGCAUAAUCAGAGGCUGAGAUGCGCGAUUAGGGUUCGAAAGGUGCACAUGGUGUCCGACAGUACUUGAAUCGAUGGAAUACAGUUUGAAUGGGCUGCGAAAGACUUCGAUUCAGUGAAAUAGGGCUAGAUUUAGGGUUACGAAGCCUAGCUGUGAUAUGGAGAUUUAGUGUUUCGAUUUGGCAAUUGGUUCCAGCUCGCCGUCGUCAAAGGUUGGUUGUGAUGCUCUGGAUUUCUAGGGUUAUUCUUUUGUGUGUGUGUGUGUGUAUGCUAGUUGCGUUUUUAGGCGGUUUGCAUGAGUUUGUUUUGUUUUUGUGUCUCCUUAUCGUCGUUGAUCACCGUGUAUGCUGCCGUUCUAUGUGUCCCGGAUUGAGGGGCUUGCAUGUCAAUUUUUAAGCCCUUGUGAGCCUUUGAUGUUGUGGGUAGCCUUGUUUGACUAUGGCCGAGAACUUUGGGGACGAAUAGGUAUGGGUGGGCUGAUAUAUAGUCCUUUUAGUUUUAGUUUGUCCUGUUUUACUCUUAGUUUAUUCUUUUUUUUUUCAGAUCUCUGUUUCAAUCUCAUCUUCUCCAUCUGAUUAGGUUUAUUCUCAUUUUCAACUUCAUGAUAUCAAUUUUCAUCAACAUUUAUUCAUCUGGCCUUGUGGCAGCUUGUUUGUCUAGCAACCUUACUUAAGGUUUCUGAAAAUGAAAGCUUUGAUCCAUCAUCGGUUAAGCUUUGAAAGCUUUGAUCGGCUUCAUUGAUGUUGCUGGGCUAUGCUUUGCCUUGACAUUGCUGACUCACAGGAACAUCUCUCAAAAUUACAAGUUCCAAGCUAUUGGACUUGGUGAGGGAAGCUUGACUUUAGUUUAUUUGUCACCAAUUGCAUAUUUCCACCUAUUGUGGACAGAUUUGUGGCUAUUAGGGUGCUUACGUUUCCAACUUUGGAUCCCCACGAAGUUGUACCAAUCUCAGAACUCCUUUUCUUCUUUAGUUAGAGUUUUUGUUAUCUUAUGUCAGAGUGGGUUAUCUAGUACUAAUGUUGGUAGUAGUUAUGAACUUUUAUGACCUAGAAAGAGUACUUUUUUUUGAGAUUUCAUGUAACGUAUCCUCGUUUAAGUUGCAUUCUCAUUUGGAUAAUAUGCUUGGUUAGCAGUGGAAUUAGAGUUUGAAUUUUUUUUGAGGAAAUCCAUACCAUAGUUCUUUCGUGUGCUCGGAAUGGUUUCUAUACAUCUUCAUCUUUCUUGACCCUAUGGUACCAUUUUCCUUUUGGCAAGGUGGGCUUUUGCAGACUCUGUUCUGCAUCGUUUGGCACCCCUAUGGCAGGGUGGGUUGGUGCUAGAGGACUAGAAUUUACUUGGGACUACUUCUGCAAGGCCUUGAAGCAAAUGCAUGCUAAUCUGGUAUGAUAUCAUGCAAAUUUGGGACUAUUUUUAGUUUUUGUUUUUAAAGGGACUAAAUUGAAGAAAAAGUCAAUACUAUAAGGAAAAAUUUGUACAUAUACAACAAAACCCACAUUUACCAAGUAGUUGUAGUAUAUAUUUCCUCAUUUUAUAAACACUCCGUCUGGGGUUUUUUGCGGCUUCCUCUGUUUGGCACCACAAGAGUUACAGCACAUUCUCUGUGUGCAGAAUACCAACGUCAAUGGAAAACAGAAGAUCAUGUUUGCCUUGACCUCCAUUAAGGGUAUUGGCUACCGUUUCACCAACGUUGCUUGCAAGAAGCCGACAUCGACAUGAACAAGAGGUUCCUUAAUGAAGCGUAGGCUUGGGACUGUACAACUGGAUUAGGGUGUCCGGGACUCGCAACAAAGUGUGGCACGCAAUACUAUAGUUCCAUGGUUGAAGAUUUUUUUUUCUUUAUCCUAGUUGUGCUCUGUGUGAAUGUAGAUUGUGGACAUGAAUUAAUAUGAUGUUGGGAUGUUGCUAAUUUUUUUGUUAGAUGUUUCAAUCUUUUAGAUUAUUAAUGAAUUUGAAUGUUUUGGGAACAA